UCUCAGAUAAGAACAAAAUCGCUCGCGUCUCAGAUCAGCACGAUCCACCGUCGCACCAAUCGUCUUACCACCGCCACCACGCCGUUGGCCUGCGGCGACGCCACUCCGCACAGCACCAUCUACCGUCGCACACCCCCACUGUCGCACACUCGCCACCGCGAUGCCGACGCCACAGCCGCCACCCCCGCUAACGUCCGUAGAUCUGAAGCUCCUCCUUGCCCCGGGACGACGACCCCGGCUCCUCUGCGACGCCAGUCUCCCGCCUCCUUCUUCAGCCGGAGAUUGGGGCUGCCGGCGCGGCUUCCUCGUCCGAUCUGCAGAUGCGAUGAGAAUUGGAAUGGUAGGUGCUAGCUGAUUCCAGAGCAAAACGGCAAGAAAAUUCUUUCAAAAAGCCUACUGUUGACAUCAAGACCGCUUUAUCACGCUUGAUUGAUAGAUUGUCAAACUAUGCUGCUUCAAGUCCAGAAGACUCAUCAAGGGGUGAUCCUAGUGAUUACAGUAGUCAAAAGAACAGACGAGCUCUCUGAUUCAAUGUUAUGGGUAGCAUGGACGAUUCUGUACUCUCACUGCGGGAGAGAUUAAAUGGCCCACUCCUUAACACUAUGGUUUGUCAAGAGGUAAUUUUUACUGUGAAGUUGUUCUUCUUGGAGGAUCAGUUUGGGAGCUCUCCUUUCUUGUGCAAGACAUAUUUCUGAUACAAUUAUUUAUUGUAAUUUCAUUCUUUUCUUUUGUAGAUUUCAAUUAUUUUUAAUUUAGAAUUGUAAAUAUGUAAUUUCAUUUAUUGUUUUUACAAAUACUGUAGUAAUUUCAUAAUGGUUGUGUGAGAA